UGCCAGCCCCCAAGCCAGGUUACUCAGGUUUAACUUACUGAUCACAGGUGCCCAAUAAAUGGGUGCCUAGGAAUGUGUAGCCAACAAUAAACCCUGUUUGUGAUAGAUGUUUGUUCUGAUUUCCCUUCUUGCCCCUCCCAGUCCCAGCCCCCAGCUUUGCCUGAUCUCCAUCAUCUGGGACUUCAGACAGGAUACAUUGAUUUGGAAGACUUGAAACCUGACGGAAGUGUGGUGCUAGACACACAUAGGAGUCACCAUCAAUACCAGGAUUUUACAUCCCUAAGGGUAGAGCUCCCUGUUUUUCUGAAGAUACUGCUCCCCUGCUGGAUGUAUUAACUUUUUGUGGAGCCUGUGAUGUUUACACCUUGGAAUGUCUCUAACUAUUCAGGUGCCUGAAUAAAGAGUUAGUGCCUGCC